UACGUAGGGUGCGAGCGUUUGUCCGGAAUUAUUGGGCGUAAAGAGCUCGUAGGUGGCGGGUCACGUCGGGUGUGAAAGCCCGGGGCUUAACUCCGGGUCUGCAUUCGAUACGGGUCUGCUGGGGUCCGGCAGGGGAGACUGGAAUUCCUGGUGUAGCGGUGAAAUGCGCAGAUAUCAGGAGGAACACCGGUGGCGAAGGCGGGUCUCUGGGCCGGUACCGACGCUGAGGAGCGAAAGCGUGGGGAGCGAACAGG
rnacentral:rRNA from 1 species